UGCCAUACAAGUCUGUGGUAGCCUGGAAGAGAAGAUAUGGAAUACUGAAUGAACAAACCACACUGUUUGUACUCCCAACAAGCCAUUUGGAACCCAGGCAACACAACUCCCCUUCAGCUAUCUGAGGACCUGCCUGAAUCACCCUACUGCCCUGGUCAUUCCUGUCUCCUCAAAAGACGUCCCUUCAGCUGGGCUACUUGGAUGUCUGUUCCUGCAGUAUUGAGAUAAGGAAGGCAUACAGUGUGGUCACCAAACAUUCACAUGUCCCUGUUAUUCCCUGAAUGUUGGAUUGGAAAACAAUUUCUAUUUCAAGAGAACAAGAUAAUCAAAGGAUAAUUCUUGAGGGGCAUUGCAAUACUGGAAAUCCAAGAAUUUAGAAACGAAGCCACUGUGAAGAAGACCACACAUCACAGUGCACAGUGUUGGUAUGUGACUUUGCUGGUGACACCCAAGCCCCAAACAGAGCAAAAUAAACUCCAGAGGCUAAGAGCAAGAUGUUCUCAAGACUCAGUUUACCUGUUGAACCAGUCAUCUGUGUAUCGAGGGUAUGGGUA
rnacentral:lncRNA from 1 species